CCUACGGGAGGCAGCAGUGGGGAAUAUUGCACAAUGGGGGAAACCCUGAUGCAGCGACGCCGCGUGAGUGAAGAAGUAAUUCGUUAUGUAAAGCUCUAUCAGCAGGGAAGAAAAUGACGGUACCUGAGUAAUAAGCACCGGCUAACUCCGUGCCAGCAGCCGCGGUAAUACGUAGGGGGCAAGCGUUAUCCGGAUUUACUGGGGGUAAAGGGAGCGUAGACGGCAGUGCAAGUCUGAAGUGAAAGGCGGGGGCUGAACCCUAGGACUGCACUGGAAACUGUACGGCUGGAGUAGAGGAGAGGUAGGUGGAAUUCCUAGUGUAGGGGUGAAAUGCGUAGAUAUUAGGAGGAAUACUAGUGGCGAAGGCGACUUACUAGACUAUAACUGACGUUGAGGCGCGAAAGCGUGGGGAGCAAACAGGAUUAGAUACCCUUGUAGUC
rnacentral:rRNA from 1 species